AUGACCCCUAAUCAGCUGUGGGAGCUGGGCCGAAUCCAUCACCCAAUUCAAGGCCCAGAAAAUAUGGAGAGUAUGGAUAUUCCUCACAUUGAGUGGGAAAACAGUGGACUUACUGCUGAUGGCUACUCAAGUGUCAUUGUCCCAGACACAGAAAGCCCACUGACUGAUGGACAAAUGGCAGCUUUAAGAGAGGUUGUUGACCCAAGAGCUGCAUCCCAGUCCUUUGGCUGUGAUAUCUAUGUCGCUGCUGUUCAAUUUUGUGAGCAUGUUCUAUCUGAAAACUGAAAGACACACACAUGCCCCCCUUGUUUCUGUUCUGUUUGAAACUCUUUUUUUUUUUCCAUAGUGUGUCAGAUCAGGGCAAGCUAACUACCAACAUUUACAAGACAAAUACAUUUUAGGCAUUUCUUGUAAUUUUUUUUGUUUUAUGAACGGGCCUUUAUACUGUACAGAUGUGAACAACUUAAUUAAACUGGCAAUAAAACCCCUUUGUAAGACUGGCAGCAGCUGCUAAUGUGUCUGUUUGAGCAAACGCCCCACAAAUUAAUCAUUACAUGAGUUGUAGUGAAUUACCGUAUAUGACUUAUUCAAUUGACAAGUCAUCACUUUGACAGACAUCCAUUGCAAAAUGUGCUAUUACCACUGAAGAUCAAACUAACCCUGCAUCACAAUAUACACAUUUUCCUUGAAUAACCGGAGGAUUACACAUGCACUAUUUUCAUAUUUAGGAUGUUAUGAAGUUAAUCAGACUGAAAACUGUUGCAAAGUUGCAGUCAAAUAACCCUUAAAAGCACAGAUGUGUAAGAUGAUCAGUGUCAUGUCUUUAUAGAAGUUAUUUGGUACCAAAGAUUGGAAAAGCAUGUUUGCAAAAGCAACAAAGGUUAUAGUGGAUUUGUUCUAGGCAUUGAACAUUCACUCUGGAGACAAAUGCAUUUCUGCAUAAGAUGUUAAGCACAGUGAAAUAAAACAGGCAUCAUGAGUUAAUCUAUGAGUUUCCAUCAUUCUAAUCUGAAAUAAAUGUCAAUCACUGAUGAAUUUUUAUGUAAUGAAAACACUGACGGAUCUGUCAUGAACACAAUGAUAAAUUUAUUAUAAGAACCUCGCAGACAAAUACUGAUGAAGCAAUCUGAGAAAAGCAGCAAAAUAUACUUCAUCCAAAUAUUUCUGUGCUUAACUGCAUUUGUACAUAACUAAAAUAACACUAAACUUUCCUUAAAACGUUUUUUAAAGGGACAUUAACUUUGAAGUUGCUACAUUGCCAUUGCUAGCAGGUUGCAUGCCAUUUAAUAUAAUUGUCCAUCAAAAAACAUAACAAUGGACUUUGUAUUCGUAAUUUAGCAUAUUAAUACGCAAUCAUUUAAACAUUUAACGUUAUUCAGUAACAGUAACGUUAUUCACCACCGCUUUGUCCCUACACAAGACCAAAUCCUGUUUGGCAAGUGCCAAUACAAGCCAGGAUGUCAUUUUUAAAGGAUGCAUAGUCCUUGUAAUGUCCUGGGAUUCGCAGGGUCUCAAAACAGGUGGAGGCUGUUGGGAAGCUGCCUUUAACCACCUCAAUGGAUAUGUUAUUCCUUGGCAUAAUCUCCCACCCUGUCCAAAAUUUCAACAGGUCAGUCAAUUCAUCAGGUGAUGCUGUGGAUUAAACAAAAUGGAUCAAAUGAUAGGUUGCUACAAAUAAUGGAAAAUAAUUUAGAAAAUUUAAAUGUUUAGUAUUCAAUAAAUGUAUCAUAGUAGCUCUGUUAUGUAACAAAUAAAGCAGUUUCUUGAACAGAAUUACCAUAACACCAUAUACCCUGGUGAAAUGUCAAAAAGGUAUGAAAAAAUACUAUUAAUAAAGCUGUGUGUGAAGAGUGUGCGGUUAUCUACUCUUCCUGUCCUAUAUACAGGUGUGCAAAGAUAGUCUUAAUAAUAACCUUAAUAAUGAAUUUAACAAUUUCUAUAACUAACUGUUUAAAAAGUAACCUGCCACUUAUAAAUAAAAACUUUGGGUGACUAACUUAUUUUAAUAACACGUUGGCAAGAUUUCGAACUCUGUACACAUACCAUUUUCAAUGAAGCAUCUAAGAUAACCUGAUAUGCGGCAUUUUGUGUCAAGUGAAUAAUCGUCGUCGUUGUCAUCAUCAUCUUCAUGAGGCCAGGUAAUGUGCUGCAUGAUUAUCUACAUGGACAAUAAAACAACAUGAAUUUAAUAAUCUUACCACUUUAUCAUAGAUUCUAUCUAUAUAAUAUACACACACAAAUAAUAUCGAAUUGUAAAAAGUUACCGCAGGGUUACAAUCCACUGCUCUUUCCUGUGGAAAAAGCUGGGCCACUGUGUCAGGUCGUUUGGUCAGCAAUGUCCACAUUGGUGUCUCUUUAAGACCACGCCUGAAUUGUUUGAUUUGUCGUGUGACACGUCCAAUUACCUGUCAAUGACAUUACCGGACAGAAGGUGAUUUUAUUAUUAUCCCAAAGCAAGUUCUGAGGAUGACUUUUGCCAAUAUGUGACAGUUUCUUUAAAUUUCACACACAGCAUGGAUCAACAUCUUCUCAAAAAGCCAUCUUCGGUUAUUUCCAGUAAGGCCAGGGAGAUCCCAAGCGUAGGCCAACUCCUGGACACUUGUUUUGUCCUUGUCUGAGAGUUCAGAUUCCCUUCAAGCUUUAAGACAGAGAGGGAAGCGAAAGGCGAGGCACAAUCCACUGCUCUCUCCUGUGGAAAAAGCUGGGCCACUGUGUCCGGUCGUUUGGUCAGCAAUGUCCACAUUGGUGUCUCUUUAAGACCACGCCUGAAUUGUUUGAUUUGUCGUGUGACACGUCCAAUUACCUGUCAAUGACAUUACCGGACAGAAGGUGAUUUUAUUAUUAUCCCAAAGCAAGUUCUGAGGAUGACUUUUGCCAAUAUGUGACAGUUUCUUUAAAUUUCACACACAGCAUGGAUCAACAUCUUCUCAAAAAGCCAUCUUCGGUUAUUUCCAGUAAGGCCAGGGAGAUCCCAAGCGUAGGCCAACUCCUGGACACUUGUUUUGUCCUUGUCUGAGAGUUCAGAUUCCCCUUCAAGCUUUAAGACAGAGAGGGAAGCGAAAGGCGAGGCAAGUUUAUCUAUAUAGCACUAUUUAAAUUGCUUUACAUACAACAUUAAAAAGCAGUUUAAAAUGUAAAAACAUUCAUUAAGGAGAAUAUAAAAAAAGCUAAAAUAGCACAGUCUUCACCCCCUCAGCCAUUUUUCCAUAAAAUAUUAGAGCCCACUGAAAAAACAAAUUGGCCAAGGGAGUGGAGACUUUCUUUCUUGAUUGUCUAUAACAGGGAAGAAAUAAUGAGGUUAGAUAAAAAACAUACAAGCCUGAUUGUUUCACGGAUGUCUAGGUCCGGACAGUCCUCUGGUGUUACUGUUGCAGUUUCCGGGCUUCCUCCAAACAGGACAUGCACAACAGCAGGACUAAGCCCUGACAGGCAUGGUCCUCCAUGAACAAAGGAGUGCCCCACCAUUCUGCCUGCCAUGAUGAACAUGUCACUUUCCACGAGAAACUGAGAGGCUGAGGGCACUAAAUGGCCUGGCUGUCCAUCAAAGAGAUGUGUAACAGCAGUGUUUGCUGUUUAAGAAAUGUACAAAUUUAGACAAAAGAAAAUUCCAAAUACUACAUACUCAUAGUACACAUUAUAUUACAUAUUCUAUAAACUUUUUAAGUAUCAGGUUACAGCAAAAAAAAAAAAAAAAAGAAUAAAACAAUAACAGAAUUACUAUAUAGUUAAAGUAAAAAAAUAAGUUUAAUUUAAAACUAAAGAAGACUUUAAUUAACAAAAUAUUUGCUAAUGACAAGUCAGCUUACACAUAGCUACAGUCAACAUACCAAAGUUGAAGCAAAACCCAGACUUUAGCUUGUUCAUGCAAGUUGAGAGGAAAAAGUGACUCACACCCUCUCCAAUGGCUGCAUCACCUGUAACACAAUGGAGGGUUUGAUAUAGUAAAAGGGAAAAGCAAUACUUAAGGUAGGCUUUAACUACUUUGACAUGAAAUUGAAGCUACCUUCAAGUCUGCAAUUCAAGGGUCAUGCCCAUUCCACAUUCGGCUUCUUAUAGAAGCAGAUGAGCGCAGCGUCUUGUUCAGCAGGGCUCUUUCUAAUAUUUAUGCUGAGAAGUAAGGGAUUCUUACUUUCAUGAUGGCUAAGAAUAGAUUCCCGAAACAGAGACAUGACCUUGGUAGGGUCUUGUACCGUGAGCCACUCUAGUAAGAGAUAAAAUGAAAAUGUUAAAAAAUAAAAUGACUUUGGAUAUGUAACUUAUGGAAAGAGUAUUUCCGCAAUUACAUAUUCUAA
rnacentral:lncRNA from 1 species